GCUGGCAUAGCUCAGUUGGUAGAGCAUGAGUCUGUUAAUCUCAGGGUUGUGGGUUCAAGACCCACGGUGGACA